rnacentral:rRNA from 1 species
UACGUAGGUGACAAGCGUUGUCCGGAUUUACUGGGCGGUAAAGAGCGCGCAGGCGGUCGAUCAAGUCGAGUGUGAAAGCCCCGGCUCCAACUGGGGAGGGUCGAUUCGAUACUUAUCGACUCGAAGGCAGGAGAGGGUAGUGGAAUUCCCGGUGUAGUGGUGAAAUGCGCAGAUAUCAGGAGGAACACCGAUGGCGAAGGCAGGUCUCUGGGCAUUAACUGACGCUGAGGAGCGAAAGCAUGGGGAGCGAACAGG